GUUCUGAAAACUGCUCCACAGCUGUUGACGACAUGCAAAGAUGGUGUGCGAACCAAUAACUGUGUUUCACUCCGUACCCACCACUUGGUUCUGUCACACUGUGAAGUUUAGUUGCAACACCGUAACUAGGAAACAGUGGAGUCCUGUGGAUGACAACUUGGAUGAAAUGGUGAGACUGGAUGACAUCGCCGACCGAGGUGUGAGCUGACAGAAUGGAGAACUUGGCUUGAUCGGGAGACAGACGGGGAGAAUACCGUUUGGUGUUGUCAUCGUCUCGGUGAGUGUGCUGGCACGUGAAACGAGUGACGAAAGGACGUUGGUAUUGUUGUUUGUGAACCUGGCUGCCGUGGCUGGAUCGAAGCACCCAAAGUAACAAAGGCACAACAAGGACUGAGAAGAACCAGCUUGCUGUUCAAAUGCUCUCUCUGUGUGUAGUGGCUGUCGUGGGAACGUAUUUCGUUGCCACCUUGCUUAUGGUAUAAAGUUCGGUAGCCUUAACGCUGCCCUGUGUUGUAACGCCUGCCACUUCCCCUGUAGCUUAGCUCUUGAAACCCGUGUAAUUUAAAGAAAACAAGAAAAAUACUAAAAACCCACUUAGUAACCAUGUUUUAGCUCGUCUUUUUUUUUUACUAGAUACAGAAAGUGGCAAAACUAUGAUUGUUCUGUAGAAUAAUCUGUAAAAUAUACUGUGUGUUUCAUAAAAAUGACUUGUACAUAUGGACUCUUUGCAGACUUAAUUAAAAAUAAAUUAGUUUAAUUAACCGUCA